UUUCAAGAUUAAGCCAUGCAUGUCUAAGUUUAAGCAAAUUUUAAACGCGAAACUGCGGAUGGCUCAUUACAAGGGAAGUAAUCUAUUUGACGAUGACCUCGCUCUUCGGAGCGUCUACACGGAUACCCGUAGUAACACUAGAGCUAAUACGUGCAUUAAAACCCCGACUCGUGAGGGAAGGGGCGUACUUGUUAGAUUUUAAAAACCAAUGCACGUCUUUCGGGGCGUGUUUUGUGGUGGACCAUGACAAUUAUUCGGAGCGCACAGUCUUCGCACUGGCGCCAGGUCAUUCGAACUUCCCACCUAUCAGCUUUCGAUGGUAGUGUAGUGGACUACCAUGGCGUUGACGGGUAACGGGGAAUUAGGGUUCGAUUCCGGAGAGGGAGCCUGAGAAACGGCUACCACAUCCAAGGAAGGCAGCAGGCGCGCAAAUUACCCAAUCCUGACACAGGGAGGUAGUGACAAGAAAUACCAAUACCGGGCACUCCGUGUCUGGUACUGGAAUGAGUACAAUUUAAACACCUUAACGAGGAACCAUUGGAGGACAAGUCUGGUGCCAGCACCCGCGGUAAUACCAGCUCCAAUAGCGUAUACUAAUGUUGCUGCAGUUAAAAAGCUCGUAGUUGGAUUUCUGGCUUUGGCGCACCCGGCCCAACCUUUGGUUUGGGUGCCGGCGUGCGCCGGCCAUUCCCUCCAGGCGAUCUGUUCUGCCAUUGAUUUGGUUGGGGCAGGGAGCUUGGUCUUUCACUGUGAAUAAAUUAGAGUGUUCAAAGCAGGCCGCAGUGCCGUGAAUAGCCCAGCAUGGAAUGAUAAGAUAGGGCUUCGGGCUUCUCGGCUUUCGGGUCGAGGGGCUACCCUGUUUUGUUGGUUUUAAGGGCCGGAGUAAUGAUUGAUAGGGAGCGUUGGGGGUGCUAGUAUUCAACGGCCAGAGGUGAAAUUCUUGGAUUCGUUGAAGACUAACAUCAGCGAAAGCAUUCACCAAGGAGCUUCUCUUUAAUCAAGAACGAAAGUUGGGGGAUCGAAGACGAUCAGAUACCGUCGUAGUCUCAACCAUAAACUAUGCCGACUGGGGAUCCGCCGAUGUCAGCCUAGCUCUCGGUGGGCACCCUAUGAGAAAUCAAAGUCUUUGGGCUCCGGGGGGAGUAUGGUCGCAAGGCUGAAACUUAAAGGAAUUGACGGAAGGGCACCACCAGGCGUGGAGCUUGCGGCUCAAUUUGACUCAACACGGGAAAACUUACCAGGUCCAGACUGAGGAAGGAUUGACAGAUUGAAGCUCUUUCUUGAUUCUCAGGGUGGUGGUGCAUGGCCGUUCUUAGUUGGUGGAGUGAUCUGUCUGGUUGAUUCCGUUAACGAACGAGACCUCAGCCUACUAAUUAGUUGGUCGGAGUCUGAUCUCCGUCACAAUCAACUUCUUAGAGGGACUAUCUUGCGCGUAGCAGAUGGAAGUUUGAGGCAAUAACAGGUCUGUGAUGCCCUUCGAUGUUCUGGGCCGCACGCGUGCUACACUGAUGCGUUCAACGAGUGCCAAGCGGCCUUUGGUCGCUAAUCCCUUGGUCGAUAGAUCCCGGGUAAUCUUCUGAAAGCGCAUCGUGAUUGGGAUAGAUGAUUGCAAUUGUUCAUCUUCAACGAGGAAUGCCUAGUAAUCGCGAGUCAUCAACUCGCAAUGAUUACGUCCCUGCCCUUUGUACACACCGCCCGUCGCUUCUACCGAUUGAGUGAUCCGGUGAACUCUUAGGACUGCGCGCCCUCGUGGCGUCGCAGGAAUUUGCGUAAAUCAUAUCACUUAGAGGAAGAAGAAGUCGUAACAAGGUAUCC
rnacentral:rRNA from 1 species